GGGCUGGCCGAGUGGCAAGGCACCGGAUUGCUGAUCCGAGGUCCGGGGUGACCCGGCGCGCGUUCGAUCCGCGCGGUACCGCG
rnacentral:tRNA from 1 species